CUCAGCCCGGGAGCGGGAGCGGGAGCGGGGCGGGCGCGCUGAGUCCUGGGCUGGGCAGGGCGCGCAGCCUGGGCAGGUCCUCGAGGCGCCCCGCCUGCUGCUGGCCCGGCAGGGGCCCCGGGGAACCGGCACCUUCUCCUGCACCCCACGUCGCUCCCUUCCCCAGGCUGGUCCAUUUCUACCUGUUUCUGCAAACCAGAUAGACCCUGAAGGGGCAGAAACUUAGCUCCGUUGAAAUGGCUGAAGCUUAGACUGCCACCUUGGGGUAACUCCUGAGGAGGGUCCUAACAGUUAGGACCCGAGGCCCUUUCUCUCCCAUCUCCCUCCUCUCACCCGCCUCUUCUCCCUUAACCCCCCUCCGUGCCCCCGCCCCCCGAUCUCACGGCCGUCUUCUUCCUUCAGAAAAUCAGGAGCAUCAAGAAGAAGCUGAGUCUCCUGUGCAUCGACUUCAACAAGAACCUGAACGGGGACACGACCUUCCUGCCAUUCACGCGCGAGGAGUUGGAAAGGGACCUGCUCCGGCUGCAGGAGAAGCUUCUCCGUCUUGGAGAUCUGUGGCGAGAUGGAGGAAUCCUCUGAUAAUCAUAUCGAGGGCGACGACCCCAAGAAGGAGGCGGCCACGAUUUCGACUACUCUUUUCCGCAUUCGACAGGUCCACUCUUAAUAGGCAGCCACGUAAUGUUCUCCCAUCUUGUUCUCGGACAGCAUCGGCUGCAUCUGGGGGAUCUUCAAAUUCAACUAAAGUGAAGUCGGUAGGGCAUCUAGCUACCCACACACUUCGGAGUGGUCCAUAAUAGCCUACAGCUCGUUCUAAUUCGGUCUUGUUACCAUCGUUUCCAAGAUUCCCUACAUAAACUUUACACUCCAAUGGACAGGAAUCACGAUGCAUUUUGAGAUCUCGGGUUAGAAAUGCAGAGGCUCAAAUCCACACACCCCUGGCGGGGUCUUCCCGGUCCCCUCCCGCCUGGCACCCGCAGAUGCUCUCUCACACCCGUCGUCCAUGAAAUGGCCUGGCAGGCGGAUUCUUAACCACUGUGCCACCAGGGAAGUCCCCCCACCCCACCCCCGCCAUGGCAGUCUUUAUGUUUCUGGCCCCAUCUGGCUCGAGCCAGGCCUCAGGCAUUGCGUUUAGUUCCUGUCUCUACAGGCUCCUUCCCAGUUGAUCGGGUCCUCAGCCUUUUACAAACUUGCUUCCAUCUUGCCCCCGUGGACAGUUUUGCAAACUCCAGGCCAGGUGGGCAUCGGCCUGUGAGCUCUGCCCGGGGUUCAGACGGGGCUUGAGCAUCCUCACCGGUUCUGUGUGACAGGCUGCUGCAUAAAAUGUGACACCUCGUUUGCCUCUGGGCGGCUAGAUUUCGGGGACAGCCACGGAUGCACGCUGACCCAGGCAGAUGCUUCAGGUCCAUCACGCCAACUUCUGCUGCCCUAACUUCUGUUCCCCAAGCCGCUGUCCCGGGCAGCAAGACCCACGUGGCUCCUGGGUUUCACGGGCCACAGGGUGAUCCCGGGCCUCUGGAAUCUGGCGGCUGAAUCUGCUUGCACAAGCUGUCCUGUGGGGCUGCUUUUCCCCCUGUGUCGAGUCCAGGGGCCCUGCUGUCAUGGCCCGGCCUCCCGGGCGAGAGGGUGAACCCCAGCUCCCUGGAACAGACAUUCAGAGCCCCGGUGACCGGUCUCACGGGGCUGGGGCGGCGGCUGGACGUGUGUGGCCAGCCUGGUGGUGUUUGGCCCCGUCUGCAGUUCCAGUUCCAGCUGAGAAAGAGCCUCGCUGUGUUAUUUUCUCCUGGUUGUGUAAGGACCCCCGGUGUCAUUUGACAGAAAUGUAGAUGGUGUGUUCUUUCUCUGAUUUCUCCCUGCUUCCUCUCCUCCCUCCCUCUCUGUCCCUCCCUCUCCUGCCUCCCUCUGUCUCUCCCUCUCCCUCCCUCCCUCCCGGAGAGGGAGAGACAGGGAGGGAGGGAGGUUUUAUUAUAUCCUAUAAUAUGGUUUAUUAUAGGAUACUGAAUAUAGUGCCCUGUUGUAUCUAUUUUAUAUAUAGUACUUUGUAUCUGCUAAUCCCAAACUCCUAAUUUAUCC
rnacentral:lncRNA from 1 species